GGGAGGCCGGGAGGGGUCCCUGGGCGGGGAGUUGCUGCGCAUCUGUUGUGUGUGUGCGUCUGUCUGUCUGUUCAGGUCUGUUUUAGGCUGUGUCUGUCUGUCUGUCUGGGUCUGUUUCAGGCUGUGUCUGUCUGUCUGUCCGGGUCUGUUUCAGGCUGUGUCUGGGUCUGUUUCAGGCUGUGUCUGUCUGUUUGUCUGGGUCUGUUUCAAUCUGUGUCUGUCUGUCUAGGUCUGUUUCAGGCUGUAUGUGUGUCUGCUCUUUGCUUCUGCUCCUGGCUCUGUGUGUAUUUCCCGG
rnacentral:lncRNA from 1 species